CAAAAGUGGUAAGGGAGGAAGAGGCAGGAGCUCCAGAGAGGAAGCCAUGUACACAUUUUUAAAGAGAAAAAUCCAUGUCAUGCAUUGGUAUGGGGAGUGCUGAGAGACAAGGCUAGAAAAGAAAGCAAUGAUGAAAUCAUGAGGUCACAAAGGGCCUGAUAACCAUAUUAAGGAAUUGGUACUUAAGCCUAGAGAUAAUAGGAGGCAAAGAAGUAAGACUGUAAGCCGAGGAAGUUCUUUCUAUGUGUUCUGAAGUAUAAACAAUGUAUUGAAGAAGAAAGACUACAGGAAGGGAGAACAGGUUGCUGCAACAAAGCAAAUGUAGCAAUAGUGGUGGCCUAAGCUAGGCUAAUGGGUGGGGACAGAGAGAUAUGGUUCAGGGCAAGAGAUUUUAUGCAUCUAUUUAAAUCUAGCUUGAGUACCUAUAGGUGCCAGUACUAAUCCUGAGAUAUUAAAUACAAAGAGAAGUAGGUUUUGGGGUAAGACGGGGUAUGGAAGAUAAUGACUUCAGUUUCUGAAAAUAUUGAGAUUAAGGUACUUCUGUCACAUUUAAGUGGAAAAGGUCAAUAAACAAUUGGAUGUAUGGAUCUAGAGCUUGGGAGAGAAGACCUGGUGAGAAUUCAAAUUGAGAAGUCAUCAGCAUGCAGAAAGUAACUAAUAACAGAAAUUAAAACCACCCAGUAAAUGAGAAGAGCCAAGGACAGAAUCUGAAGGAAUACCAACUUCUCAGGCUAAGCAGAGAAGAGAGGCCCAUGAAAGAGGCUGAGAAGGAGCAGCCAAGGAGAUGAGACAAUCAGUGGAAAGUGAUGCCCUGGAGCCUGGGGAAGAGUGCUCAAGGAGAAAAUCGUCAGCAGCACCAAAUACUGCUCAAAAGUUAAGAGAAAUAACAAGGUCACAUAAAGAGCACUGUAUCAUCAGAUAGAAUGAAAACGCACAAAGAUAGAACUUCAGUAAAUAAGAUUCAAAUAAGAUAUUGGGACACCAUCUCUUCCACUUCUCACCUUGUACCUGUAUAA
rnacentral:lncRNA from 1 species